rnacentral:miRNA from 1 species
CGAAAACAGCAAUUACCUUUGC